rnacentral:tRNA from 1 species
GGCAGUACGGCCUAGUGGAUAAGGCAGUGGCAUUGAACUCCAGAGACUUAGGUUCUAUUCCUGGCUCUGCCA